UGGGGAAUUUUGGACAAUGGGCGCAAGCCUGAUCCAGCCAUGCCGCGUGCAGGAUGAAGGCCUUCGGGUUGUAAACUGCUUUUGUACGGAACGAAAAGGUGCCUUCUAAUAAAGGGCGCUCAUGACGGUACCGUAAGAAUAAGCACCGGCUAACUACGUGCAGCAGCCGCGGUAAUACGUAGGGUGCGAGCGUUAAUCGGAAUUACUGGGCGUAAAGCGUGCGCAGGCGGUUUUGUAAGACAGAGGUGAAAUCCCCGGGCUCAACCUGGGAACUGCCUUUGUGACUGCAAGGCUGGAGUGCGGCAGAGGGGGAUGGAAUUCCGCGUGUAGCAGUGAAAUGCGUAGAUAUGCGGAGGAACACCGAUGGCGAAGGCAAUCCCCUGGGCCUGCACUGACGCUCAUGCACGAAAGCGUGGGGAGCAAACA
rnacentral:rRNA from 1 species